UUAAUAUGGAAAAUCUGCAGUUGUGGAAUGACAUGGAUAGAAGUGCUUUUAAUAUUUUAAUGUGCCGCUCAAAAAUCCUAACUCAGGCAUUCUAAACAUUGAGCCAUUCUCUCAUCUAUGCAUCUUGACUUGUGUGAUUCAGUUUCUUAGAUCAAAUGCUGAAAAUGGUGAGUGCAGCUCGAGUUAUUUGCUUAAUACAACAUUGUUUUCUAUUUUGCAAAAAUAUUAUUUUUUAUAUAAUUUCUGUGUUUCAGGAAAAGAAAAUCUUGAAGAAUUUGAAGUUAUGCCUCAACUAGUUCAUGCUCAAAUUUCUAAAGGCUGCUCAAUUUGACAUAAAAGUAUUGCAGAACUUAAUAUUGAUCACAGUUGAUGUGGCUCUCUUGCUGCUUGAGCCUUUGAUUGCAUUCUAUAGAAUGGAUGAGUAAUACUAAAAGUUUAUUGAUUGAGAAGAUGUAUAUUAAGAUGGAGAUUGAAAAGUUAAAACUUUCAGAGAUGAUAUGCCGAGAAGGGGUUAUUCAGGUGGCCAAGUUGUGAGUUUAAUCUCUAAAUUAUGUUUGAUAUGAUGUUAUUGAGAGGGCCACAGAUGCUACAUUUUUUUGAUGUCUUAAUCUUUAGCAUAUGUUAAGGAUCUUAAGGGAUAUGAUGUUGUGAUGUAUAUCAGCACGAACGGCUCGGAUUUAGGGGAAGGAAGAUCCAAGUUGAGAGAUGAAAGUAAGACCAACUAGAAGAUGAUUUGAGAGCUAAACUCCCUGCUAUCAUUCAAGGCCUAAAUCAAAGUAGUCAAAUACCGAGUUCUAAUUACUGUAAAGUUAGUUGACUAAGUUUAUAUUGAGGAUAUCUUUUAUUUAUUAGAAA